GUGGACGCCAGUCUGCAUGGAGCCGACCUUGAAAUACCACCCUUUAAUGUUUGAUGUUCUAACGUGGACCCGUGAUCCGGGUUGCGGACAGUGUCUGGUGGGUAGUUUGACUGGGGCGGUCUCCUCCUAAAGAGUAACGGAGGAGCACGAAGGUUGGCUAAUCUUGGUCGGACAUCAGGAGGUUAGUGCAAUGGCAUAAGCCAGCUUGACUGCGAGCGUGACGGCGCGAGCAGGUGCGAAAGCAGGUCAUAGUGAUCCGGUGGUUCUGAAUGGAAGGGCCAUCGCUCAACGGAUAAAAGGUACUCCGGGGAUAACAGGCUGAUACCGCCCAAGAGUUCAUAUCGACGGCGGUGUUUGGCACCUCGAUGUCGGCUCAUCACAUCCUGGGGCUGAAGUAGGUCCCAAGGGUAUGGCUGUUCGCCAUUUAAAGUGGUACGCGAGCUGGGUUUAGAACGUCGUGAGACAGUUCGGUCCCUAUCUGCCGUGGGCGCUGGAGAACUGAGGGGGGCUGCUCCUAGUACGAGAGGACCGGAGUGGACGCAUCACUGGUGUUCGGGUUGUCAUGCCAAUGGCACUGCCCGGUAGCUAAAUGCGGAAGAGAUAAGUGCUGAAAGCAUCUAAGCACGAAACUUGCCCCGAGAUGAGUUCUCCCUGAGACUUUAGGUCUCCUGAAGGAACGUUGAAGACGACGACGUUGAUAGGCCGGGUGUGUAAGCGCAGCGAUGCGUUGAGCUAACCGGUACUAAUGAACCGUGAGGCUUAACCUUACAACGCCGAAG
rnacentral:rRNA from 1 species